CACGUAGGGUGCGAGCGUUGUCCGGAAUUAUUGGGCGUAAAGAGCUCGUAGGCGGUGUGUCGCGUCGGCCGUGAAAACCCGCAGCUCAACUGUGGGCUUGCAGCCGAUACGGGCAGGCUAGAGUUCGGUAGGGGAGACUGGAAUUCCUGGUGUAGCGGUGAAAUGCGCAGAUAUCAGGAGGAACACCGGUGGCGAAGGCGGGUCUCUGGGCCGAUACUGACGCUGAGGAGCGAAAGCGUGGGGAGCGAACAGG
rnacentral:rRNA from 1 species